GGCAAGUUCAGAAUUUUCCGGCACUUCCAGCACCACCAUUUCCUCCGGGACAACCUCCACAGCAAUUGCAUCAUGGCAGAGUUUAUAACUUCAUGCCACAUAAUGCGCAGGCUCCUCAGGCUAUUGAGGGAUACGGUCAGUAUCCGUUUCAAGGCUGAGGUUAGCAGUGUGGGACCAUCAUCCGAACUCAUCUACUCCUACGAUCCAGUGCAGGGUAGAAGUUUUAUGUAGUAUUUCAGUUUCAGUUUUUAUUUACUUUUGACGUUGAACUCUCAGGGUUAUAUUUAGGGAUCCCUGACGUAGGAUUUCCAAGUUGUAAUGAAGUACUGUAUUAAAUAAAGGAUGGAUGGAUGUUGUAUUAUUUAGUGUUCCUUUCCGGUCUAAA